rfam:Weissella viridescens strain DSM 20410 Scaffold2, whole genome shotgun sequence.
AGAAACAAGUUGAGCAGGAAAGUAAAUUUAAAACACAUGUCUCAGAGAAAACAACGUUAGGUGGGAGUUGUUACAUGAUGUUUGAAUUGAAAAUGGCCUGUGAUUGGCGUUAAUGAGCAGCAAGACUGUAAGUUAACGACGUAUUGGUCUACGUUACAAGACACACGAAUCGGCAUAGCAUCAUAUCGCUCACUGCCCGCUCGUUGCCGAGGUCUAGAAGAGCAUUUUUCUAGGUAAAGUAGAAUGGUAACACGGAAGAUCCGUUUCUAUA